UACGUAGGGGGCAAGCGUUGUCCGGAUUUACUGGGCUUAAAGAGUUCGUAGGCGGCGCAGAAAGUAGGGUGUGAAAGCCCUCGGCUCAACCGAGGAAUUGCGCUCUAAACUACUGUGCUCGAGGAAUCUAGAGGUGAGCGGAACUGAUGGUGGAGCGGUGAAAUGCGUUGAUAUCAUCAGGAACACCGGAGGCGAAGGCGGCUCACUGGGGAUUUUCUGACGCUGAGGAACGAAAGCCAGGGGAGCGAACGGG
rnacentral:rRNA from 1 species